rnacentral:rRNA from 1 species
GAUGAACGCUGGCGGCGUGCCUAAUACAUGCAAGUCGAGCGAAUGGAUUAAGAGCUUGCUCUUAUGAAGUUAGCGGCGGACGGGUGAGUAACACGUGAGUAACCUGCCCAUAAGACUGGGAUAACUCCGGGAAACCGGGGCUAAUACCGGAUAACAUUUAGAACCGCAUGGUUCGAAAUUGAACGGCGGCUCUGGCUGUCACUUAUGGAUGGACCCACGUCGCAUUAGCUAGUUGGUGGGGUAACGGCUCACCAAGGCAACGAUGCGUAGCCGACCUGGGAGGGUGAUCGGCCACACUGGGACUGAGACACGGCCCAGACUCCUACGGGAGGCAGCAGUAGGGAAUCUUCCGCAAUGGACGAAAGUCUGACGGAGCAACGCCGCGUGAGUGAUGAAGGCUUUCGGGUCGUAAAACUCUGUUGUUAGGGAAGAACAAGUGCUAGUUGAAUAAGCUGGCACCUUGACGGUACCUAACCAGAAAGCCACGGCUAACUACGUGCCAGCCGCCGCGGUAA